CAACAUGGUGAAACCCCGUCUCUACUAAAAAUACAAAAAAUUAGCUGGGCAUGGUGGCGGGCGCCUGGAAUCCAAGCUAGUUGGGAGGCUGAGGCAGGAGAAUCAUUUGAACCCAGGAGGCAGAAGUUGCAGUGAGCCAAGAUGAUGCCAUUUCACUCCAGCCUGGGUGACAAGAGCAAAACUCUGUCUCAAAAAA